rnacentral:RNase_P_RNA from 1 species
CGGGGCCGGGAGUCCGUCGCGCGCCGAAGAAUGAGCGGCGUGAGGAAAGUCCGGGCAACACAGGGCGCCAUACCGGUUAACGGCCGGCAGCCGGCAACGGUUGAGCAGCGUGACAGAAAACAACCGCCGGAUGGGGAGGAAACUUCCUGUCCGGUAAGGGUGAAAAGGUGAGGCAAGAGCUCACCGGCAGACAUGGUAACAUAUCUGGCCGUACGUCUUAUGGGUUGCAAGGUCAAGUAUACCGGCAUUCAAGGACUGCCCGUCCAUUGCCGGGGGGUAGACUGCUACAGACGCUCUGAGAGGAGCGCCGCAGAUAAAUGACGGACGCGACGUGUCAGCUCCGCUUUCAGGACGAGAAAGCAACCGUCGCACAUAACCCGGCUUAUACCCGACCCCGAUUU